GUUAACGGCUGGCGGCGUGCCUAACACAUGCAAGUCGAACGGUUCUAAGCGCGAGCUUAGGAUAGUGGCGAACGGGUGAGUAAAAGGUAGGAAUCUACCCCUUGGACGGAGAUAGCUACUGGAAACGGUAGGUAAACUUCGAUAAGCCCGAGAGGGGAAAGUGGUGAGACAGCCGAGGGAUGAGCCUACUCUCCAUCAGGUAGUUGGUGAGAUAAAAGCUUACCAAGCCGAUGACGGAUAACCGGUGUGAGAGCAUGAACGGUCACAAGGGCACUGAGAGACGGGCCCCACUCCUACGGGAGGCAGCAGUGGGGAAUCUUGGACAAUGGGCGAAAGCCUGAUCCAGCGACGCCGCGUGGAGGAAGAAGUCCUUCGGGAUGUAAACUUCUGAACUAGCCGAAGUAAAAGGCCUGUGGACACACAGGAGAAGAAAGUAGGCUAGGAAAAGUCCCCGGCUAACUACGUG
rnacentral:rRNA from 1 species